UCCUGCAUGCCGCAGGGCAACUAAGCCCCAUGUGCCACAACUACUGAGCUCCCGCACCUGAAUUAGAGUCCACAUGCCACAAACUACAGAGCCCACACGCCCUGGAGCCUGCGCGCCGCAACUAGAGAAGAGAAAACCCGCGCUCCACAACUACAGAGAAGCCCGCACACCACAAUGAAGAGCCCCAUGAGCCACAACUAAGACCCGACGCAGCCAAAAAUAAAUAAAAUAGGUAAGUGACUAAUUGACCUACGGGUGUUUCCUCAAAAGACAAAAGGAUGAGGCCAUGUGAUAAUUCCCAGAUGUAGGUUGAAAAAAAUGGAGAACUGUACAGAUGUUAUGAAACAAUUGGUACUUCCCUGAGGGGUAAGAAGAGAAAUUUACAGAAUCACAGAGCACAAUGUGUCAUGUAGCGGCUCCACAGAGCACACAGCAUCCUUCAGCGGAUAAAGCAAAGGGCAAGGAGCUUGAUGCACAAUAUGGAAAAAUAAUACAUGAAAAAAUAAAAAUAAUACAUAAACUAUCAAACCAAAUCCCCAGAUAAAGGCAAACACAAAAAAGAGUCCACGCCUUGUAGAAGACAUCAUUCUCUUCCAUUACCUAAUGCCUGGCUUUCAAGAAAUUAGCGACACCCUACCUUGCGGAGGGGCUUGAGCUUGGUCUCCAUGAUGAAGUCGUACUUGCACAGCUCACAGCAGCGCGUGUCGGAGCUUUUGAUCCACUGGUGGAGGCAGGCCUGGUGCACGAAGCGCAGGGUGCCCGU